GAAAGCUGACUACAGUGAAAGUUGUACGGUCAGUUUGGAGGGGGGUAGACAGAAACGGGUCAGUGAAAGCUGUUACCGCGCUGGCUGCCUACCCUAC
rnacentral:ncRNA from 1 species